GGGGAGUACGGUCGCAAGAUUAAAACUCAAAUGAAUUGACGGGGGCCCGCACAAGCGGUGGAGCAUGUGGUUUAAUUCGACGCAACGCGAAGAACCUUACCUACUCUUGACAUCCAGAGAAGACUGCAGAGAUGUGGUUGUGCCUUCGAGAACUCUGAGACAGGUGCUGCAUGGCUGUCGUCAGCUCGUGUUGUGAAAUGUUGGGUUAAGUCCCGCAACGAGCGCAACCCUUAUCCUUAGUUGCCAGCACGUAAUGGUGGGAACUCUAGGGAGACUGCCGGUGAUAAACCGGAGGAAGGUGGGGACGACGUCAAGUCAUCAUGGCCCUUACGAGUAGGGCUACACACGUGCUACAAUGGUAUGUACAGAGGGAGGCAAGCUGGCGACAGUGAGCGGAUCUCUUAAAGCAUAUCGUAGUCCGGAUCGCAGUCUGCAACUCGACUGCGUGAAGUCGGAAUCGCUAGUAAUCGCAAAUCAGAAUGUUGCGGUGAAUACGUUCCCGGGCCUUGUACACACCGCCCGUCACACCAUGGGAGUGGGUUGCAAAAGAAGUAGGUAGCUUAACCUUCGGGAGGGCGCUUACCACUUUGUGAUUCAUGACUGGGGUGAAGU
rnacentral:rRNA from 1 species